AGGGGAGGCCGUGCCAGGCAGGGCCGGUUCGUGCGGAACCGCCAUGGCCGAGCCGGCUUCGGUAACUGUGACAUUUGAUGAUGUGGCCUUAUAUUUUUCGGAACAAGAGUGGGAGAUCCUGGAGAAGUGGCAGAAGCAAAUGUAUAAGCAAGAGAUGAAGACCAAUUACGAGACCCUUGAUUCCCUGGGGUAUGCUUUUUCCAAGCCAGAUUUGAUCACAUGGAUGGAACAAGGGAGAAUGCUAUUAAUCAGCGAACAGGGAUGCUUAGAUAAAACAAGAAGGACAACUAGCCCUCCUACUGAUGAACAGUUGAACAUGAAGAACACUGGAAAGUUGCUAUGUUUUGGUGAGUAAGAUGGAUUUAAGGUCAUGAAUUAUUUAAUUUUCCUAGCCUU
rnacentral:lncRNA from 1 species